UACGUAGGGUGCAAGCGUUAAUCGGAAUCACUGGGCUUAAAGGGUGCGUAGGCGGUUUAGUAAGUAGGGUGUGAAAUGCCAGGGCUCAACCUUGGCACGGCGCUCUAAACUGCUAAACUUGAGUGAGAUAGGGGUGUACGGAACUUCCGGUGGAGCGGUGAAAUGCGUUGAUAUCGGAAGGAACACCGGUGGCGAAAGCGGUACACUGGGUCUUAACUGACGCUGAGGCACGAAAGCUAGGGUAGCGAACGGG
rnacentral:rRNA from 1 species